rnacentral:rRNA from 1 species
UACGUAGGGGGCAAGCGUUGUCCGGAUUUAUUGGGCGUAAAGAGCGUGUAGGCGGCCUGACAGGUCUGCUGUGAAAACUCGAGGCUCAACCUCGAGAUGUCGGCGGAACCGUCUGGCUAGAGUCCGGAAGAGGAGAGUGGAAUUCCUGGUGUAGCGGUGAAAUGCGCAGAUAUCAGGAAGAACACCUAUGGCGAAGGCAGCUCUCUGGGACGGUACUGACGCUGAGACGCGAAAGCGUGGGGAGCGAACAGG